rnacentral:rRNA from 1 species
UUGAACGCUGGCGGCAGGCCUAACACAUGCAAGUCGAGCGGAUGAAGGGAGCUUGCUCCUGGAUUCAGCGGCGGACGGGUGAGUAAUGCCUAGGAAUCUGCCUGGUAGUGGGGGAUAACGUCCGGAAACGGGCGCUAAUACCGCAUACGUCCUGAGGGAGAAAGUGGGGGAUCUUCGGACCUCACGCUAUCAGAUGAGCCUAGGUCGGAUUAGCUAGUUGGUGGGGUAAAGGCCUACCAAGGCGACGAUCCGUAACUGGUCUGAGAGGAUGAUCAGUCACACUGGAACUGAGACACGGUCCAGACUCCUACGGGAGGCAGCAGUGGGGAAUAUUGGACAGUGGGCGAAAGCCUGAUCCAGCCAUGCCGCGUGUGUGAAGAAGGUCUUCGGAUUGUAAAGCACUUUAAGUUGGGAGGAAGGGCAGUAAGUUAAUACCUUGCUGUUUUGACGUUACCAACAGAAUAAGCACCGGCUAACUUCGUG